AGAGAAAGAGAUCCAUCAUGCAGCAUAUUCCACUGCUGAACAGCUCUUUCAGUCAGGAAGAUCUUCCUAAUGUUUAGGUGGAAUCUCUUUUCCUGAAAUUUGAAUCCAUUGCUCCAUGUCCUAGUAUUUCAGAACUGCUUCUUAAACUAAGCUAAACAUACCCAGUUCCAUAAGGUACUCCUCAUAGGUCUUGGCUUCCAAAUCUUUGAUCAUUUUGUUUGCCCUCCUUUGGAUGCAUUCCCCAAGGGGAACUGUUUUUGGGAAAACAGUUCCCCCUUUCAGCAGCUAGUACACCAACUUCCUGUUCAAAAUAGUACCAGCAGUGAACAGUAUAUACGGCAUGCAAAAUUAUUGGCACAAUUUAUUUUUUAACCUGUACAUUUAUGAAAUCAUUUUGCAUCCAUGUUUCCCAGGCUUUAGCACCCAAUUCCCCUGGAAUCAGAGAAGACUAAAGGGGAGAAUUUAGUACAUUUUGCACUAAUUUUAAAUCAACAGUAUUAAAUUCAAAAAGUGAUGCAUCCCACCCCAGAAAAUUCACAAUACUAUGCAAGCAGGUAAAACAUUUUUUCUUUCUUUGAAUAAAAACUACAAAAACUGCAACACCACAGAAAAGAACAACAACGACAACAACAACUUCAUUUCUAACCCGCCCUCUCUCCCCAAAGGAACUCAGGGCAGCUUCCAAAUGCCCCAUACGAUAUAAAACAAUAUAAAGUUAAAAACAGAUAAAAACAAACCCCUGACAAACAAAUAAACUAUGGCUUGAACAAUAAACAAUGAAGAAAUUCACACCUCUAAAAAGAUAGAGGUGAAAUUAAAAUCUUUUUGAGUCCUUCUAAUAAAGCCAGGGGGAGGGGGGCACACAUAAUCCCCUGCCUGAAUUGUUCCAUAAAAGAUUUUUUUCACAGGAAAAAUAAUAAAUCCUUAAACUCUUUUACAACCACAACAGAACAGUAGAGUCUCAUUUAUCCAAUCUAAACGGGCCGGCAGAAGCUUGGAUAAGCAAGGCUUGGAUAAGUGAGACUCUACUGUAUCUGCAGUGCAAAUACAGUAGUCUCUCACUUAUCCAAGCCCCGCUUAUCCAAGCUUCUGGAUAAUCCAAGCUAUUUUUGUAGUCAAUGUUUUCAAUAUAUCUUGAUAUUUUGGUGCUAAAUUCGUAAAUACAGUAAUUACAACGUAACAUUACUGCGUAUUAACUACUUUUUCUGUCAAAUUUGUUGUAUAACAUGAUGUUUUGGUGCUUAAUUUGUAAAAUCAUAACCUAAUUGGAUGUUUAAUAGGCUUUUCCUUAAUCCCUCCUUAUUAUCCAAGAUAUUCGCUUAUCCAAGCUUCUGCCAGCCAGUUUAGCUUGGAUAAGUGAGACUCUACUGUAGUUACAACUUUAUAACCCAAAUUGCUUCUUUGUGCCUUUCUAUCCUGACAAGGAUAGAAUCAUAAAAUGUGUUGUCAAAGGCUCUCAUGGUUGGAAUCACUGGGUUGUUGUGUUUUUCAGGCUGUAUGGCCAUGUUCCAGUAGCAAUAUUUCCUGACGUUUUGCCUGCAUCUGUGGCAAGCAUCCUCAGAGGUUUGUUCAGAGGUCUUUUAGAAAUGAGGCAAGUGGGUGGACUUGUCCAAGGUGAGGGAAAGAACAGCUCACAGUACUGACACAUAUACACUACACUUGUCUCAUUUCCAACAGAUCUCUGAACAAACCUCUGAGGAUGCUUUCCACAGAUGCAAAUGAAACGUCAGGAAAGAAUGCUGCUUGAACAUGGCCAUACAGCCCGAAAAACUCAACAGCAACCUAAUCAUGAAAAAUGACUUGCAUGCGUGAACUACAGGUUGAGGACCUUAGGCCAAGUUCUAGCAAACACUUAGCACAUAAAGUACAGUGAGGUAUCAAGAGCCCUGAGGUGACGACUUGAGACAUUAACUCCACAUGGCACAUCCCCAAAUGGUUGGGAGACUAGCCAAUUUUUUGUUCCCUGGCUCCCAUUUCUUUGCCUGUAAUAGUGGAGGAAGAUGUAGAGAUUGGCAGGUGGAAAAACAAAAUACUUGUCUCCAUUCCGAUGGAGAGCUCCACCUGCUCCAAACCUGCAGGCCAAACUACUCUUAAGUUUCUUUGGGAGAGUCACAUUAUAUUUUAUCUGACUUUUUCUCACAGGAUUGGAAAGAGGUAAGAGGCAGCCAGGCUUUGACACUGCAAGGGCAUUAAAUGCUAAUCAAAGCAAUCAAGUGAAACAUUCACUUGCCUCAAGCAGACAAGAGUUCUUUCUCCCACCCUGGACUUUCCAGAUAUAUAAACUCCACUUUCCUAGUUUGCAAUAGAUUUCACACCUUUGAAGAUGCCUGCCUUAAAUGUGGGCGAAACGUCAGGAGAGAAUGCUUCUGAAACAUGGCCAUACAGCCCAAAAAACUUUUUCUCACAGGGUUGUAAAGAGGUAAGAAGCAGGCAGGCUUUGAAACUGCAAGGGAAUUAAACACUAAUCAAGGCGAUCAAGUGCAACAUUCACAAUUGCCUCAAAUAGGCAAGAGUUCUUUCUCCCACCCUGGACUUUCCAGAUAUAUAAACUCCACUUUCCUAGUUUCCAACAGACCUCACACCUCUGAGGAUGCCUGCCAUAGAUGUGGGCAAAACGUCAGGAAAGAAUGCUUCUGGAACAUGGCCAUACACCCCAGAAACCCUGAUUGCAUAACUGAAAUGAGAAACGGGAACGUGUAAAGAAAUGACUACAGUCUCAGUUAUCCAACAUUCUGGAUUAUCCAACGCAUUUUUGUAGUCAAUGUUUUCAAUACAUUGUGAUAUUCUGGUGCUAAAUUCGUAAAUACAGUAUUACAUAGCAUUACUGCGUAUUGAAUUACUUUUUCAUCGUGUAUAACACGAUGUUUUGGUGCAUAAUUUGUAAAAUCAUAACCUAAUUUGAUGUUUAAUAGACUUUUCCUUGAUCCCUCCUUAUUAUCCAACAUAUUCAUUUAUCCAACGUUCUGCCGGCCCGUUUAUGUUGGAUAAGUGAGACUCUACUGUACUUCAUAUAUUCGACUGCUAGUCCUAGAGUAGAUCCUCUGAAUGAGCUGUAUUUUUUUUAAACCAACCAAUAGGUUUAUUCCAGCUGGAAUCGACCAAUAGGAUUCAAGGCCUGUUGUGAAUUACCUCGCCUGUGAACAGGUUUUCAAGAAAGGCCCCCGAGGCCUGCUAUUUUCGUGUUCUACUCCCAAGCAAGCCCCCGCCGAAAGUGUGGCUGCACAUAGAGACACAACUAACUGACUCUUGGGUGUGAAGAAGCCAUUGGCUAGUGGCUUUUCUCGCUGAAAAGUGGCGAGUGGGGAGGCCAGUCUCGCCUUCAGCUCCAGCCCCUCCAAAGGCACCCAACAAGAAGAAGGAAACUGCCGCGAAUGAGCGACACUUAGCGUCGCAAGGAUGUGUUCUAACACGCAGCAGCACUUCCGCCUCUCCGCCAUCCUUUCUCUCAGUCAGAGAGAGACGCGAACUCUGGCGAACCCGCCCCCUCUUUAAGGCGGCUCCGGCGGCGCAGAGAAGGGGCGGGGCUCUCCCCUCACGCGGCGGACGUCUAAUCGCUCAUUGGUCGAGCGUCCUAUUUGAAUGGAAGCCUUUGGAGCUUCCCAGCCUUCGCGCCCUUUGUGAGAGCGCCGUCUCCAUUGGCCGUUUAGCUGGUUCCAGGACGUCCUCUGUAAUCAUCUGCGCCGCAGCCACUGACGUCAGCACUGAUUUGAAACUGCGUUAAAUGGUGGAAGGAGGACAGCACGAAAAGGAACCUAGCCUUCUUUGGUUUCACAGCUUGACUGUAAAGACUGAGGAAUGGGGGAAGAAAAGAAAUGACCAUACAGAAAUCUAGAGCAGCCCGUUUGGACCACAAGAAGAUCCAACCAGUCCAUACUCCAGGAAAUAAUGCCCGACUGCUAACUGGAGGGAAGGAUAUUAGAGGCAAAGAUGAAGUAUUUUGGCCACAUAAUGAGAAGACAGGAAGGCUUGGAGAAGAGAAUGAUGCUGGGGAAAAUAGAAGGGAAAGGAAGAGGGGCCGACAGGGAGCUUUGGCAUGGGCUGAUCCAUGAGGUCAUGAAGAGUUGGAAGUGACUGAACAAAUAAACAACAGAUAUAUUUCUCUGAA